rnacentral:misc_RNA from 1 species
GUAAAUAAUUAUGAAGUAGUGGGGCUUCAGGAAGUUGAAUUCUCUCUGUGGAAACUUCACUAUAAACACAUUGAUGAGUUUCGUAAAAGGAUUCGGCAGGCUAAUGCUGAAAAAAAGAAAAUUGAAACACAAGAAGGUGAUUCAAGUGCUGCCCGAGAGAUUGACAAUCAUAUGGAAGGGCUCAAGUCAUUUCUGUCUGAAGCUACUGAGUUCUAUCAGGAGUUAACUAAAAAACUCAGACAAAGUUGUGGGCUCCCCAGGGAAUUGUUACUCUGUAAGAAUGGUAGCAUGUCACUUCCUCUUGUACCCAUGAAGCUGCCUCAAUGCCAAUAUGCAUGCCACCGUUUUCUAAUUUGUCUGGGAGACCUGGCCAGAUAUGGUGAACUUUGUAAGAAACCGGAUGCAUUUAAGUGGUCUUUAGCGGCCACAUACUACUUCGAGGCAUCUAGGAUAUGGCCAGACAGUGGAAAUCCUCAUAAUCAGCUUGCACUAUUGGCAACAUACACUGGUGACCCUUUCCUUGCCUUAUACCAUUGCGUCAGAAGU